GAUGAACGCUGGCGGCGUGCCUAAUACAUGCAAGUCGAGCGAACAGAUGAGGAGCUUGCUCCUCUGACGUUAGCGGCGGACGGGUGAGUAACACGUGGAUAACCUACCUAUAAGACUGGGAUAACUUCGGGAAACCGGAGCUAAUACCGGAUAAUAUAUUGAACCGCAUGGUUCAAUAGUGAAAGACGGUUUUGCUGUCACUUAUAGAUGGAUCCGCGCCGCAUUAGCUAGUGGGUAAGGUAACGGCUUACCAAGGCAACGAUGCGUAGCCGACCUGAGAGGGUGGUCGGCCACACUGGAACUGAGACACGGUCCAGACUCCUACGGGAGGCAGCAGUAGGGAAUCUUCCGCAAUGGGCGAAAGCCUGACGGAGCAACGCCGCGUGAGUGAUGAAGGUCUUCGGAUCGUAAAACUCUGUUAUUAGGGAAGAACAAAUGUGUAAGUAACUAUGCACGUCUUGACGGUACCUAAUCAGAAAGCCACGGCUAACUACGUG
rnacentral:rRNA from 1 species